rnacentral:rRNA from 1 species
GUGCCAGCAGCCGCGGUAAUACGGAGGGUGCAAGCGUUAUCCGGAUUCACUGGGUUUAAAGGGUGCGUAGGUGGAUUGCCAAGUCCGUGGUGAAAUCUCCGAGCUUAACUCGGAAACUGCCGUGGAUACUGGUAGUCUUGAAUAUUGUGGAGGUCAGCGGAAUAUGUCAUGUAGCGGUGAAAUGCUUAGAGAUGACAUAGAACACCAAUUGCGAAGGCAGCUGGCUACGCAUAUAUUGACACUGAGGCACGAAAGCGUGGGGAUCAAACAGGAUUAGAAACCCGUGUAGUCC